GGGGCAUGGCGGCNUGCUAUACAUGCAGUAGAACGCUGAAGAGAGGAGCUUGCUCUUCUUGGAUGAGUUGCGAACGGGUGAGUAACGCGUAGGUAACCUGCCUUGUAGCGGGGGAUAACUAUUGGAAACGAUAGCUAAUACCGCAUAACAAUGGAUGACACAUGUCAUUUAUUUGAAAGGGGCAAUUGCUCCACUACAAGAUGGACCUGCGUUGUAUUAGCUAGUAGGUGAGGUAAUGGCUCACCUAGGCGACGAUACAUAGCCGACCUGAGAGGGUGAUCGGCCACACUGGGACUGAGACACGGCCCAGACUCCUACGGGAGGCAGCAGUAGGGAAUCUUCGGCAAUGGGGGCAACCCUGACCGAGCAACGCCGCGUGAGUGAAGAAGGUUUUCGGAUCGUAAAGCUCUGUUGUAAGUCAAGAACGGGUGUGAGAGUGGAAAGUUCACACUAUGACGGUAGCUUACCAGAAAGGGACGGCUAACUACGUGCCAGCAGCCGCGGUAAUACGUAGGUCCCGAGCGUUGUCCGGAUUUAUUGGGCGUAAAGCGAGCGCAGGCGGUUUGAUAAGUCUGAAGUUAAAGGCUGUGGCUCAACCAUAGUUCGCUUUGGAAACUGUCAAACUUGAGUGCAGAAGGGGAGAGUGGAAUUCCAUGUGUAGCGGUGAAAUGCGUAGAUAUAUGGAGGAACACCGGUGGCGAAAGCGGCUCUCUGGUCUGUAACUGACGCUGAGGCUCGAAAGCGUGGGGAGCGAACAGGAUUAGAUACCCUGGUAGUCCACGCCGUAAACGAUGAGUGCUAGGUGUUGGAUCCUUUCCGGGAUUCAGUGCCGCAGCUAACGCAUUAAGCACUCCGCCUGGGGAGUACGACCGCAAGGUUGAAACUCAAAGGAAUUGACGGGGGCCCGCACAAGCGGUGGAGCAUGUGGUUUAAUUCGAAGCAACGCGAAGAACCUUACCAGGUCUUGACAUCCCGAUGCUAUUUCUAGAGAUAGAAAGUUACUUCGGUACAUCGGUGACAGGUGGUGCAUGGUUGUCGUCAGCUCGUGUCGUGAGAUGUUGGGUUAAGUCCCGCAACGAGCGCAACCCCUAUUGUUAGUUGCCAUCAUUCAGUUGGGCACUCUAGCGAGACUGCCGGUAAUAAACCGGAGGAAGGUGGGGAUGACGUCAAAUCAUCAUGCCCCUUAUGACCUGGGCUACACACGUGCUACAAUGGUUGGUACAACGAGUUGCGAGUCGGUGACGGCGAGCUAAUCUCUUAAAGCCAAUCUCAGUUCGGAUUGUAGGCUGCAACUCGCCUACAUGAAGUCGGAAUCGCUAGUAAUCGCGGAUCAGCACGCCGCGGUGAAUACGUUCCCGGGCCUUGUACACACCGCCCGUCACACCACGAGAGUUUGUAACACCCGAAGUCGGUGAGGUAACCUUUGGAGCCAGCCGCCUAAGGUGACAGAGAGUGGG
rnacentral:rRNA from 1 species